GCUUGGCAAAAAUGAAGGAAAGCGUCUUGAUGUUGGCUUCCUUUGAGAAGACCGCUGAUCAUCUUUUUGAUGCGGCCUAUUUUGGACAGAAGGAUUCUGUGUGCGGUGAGAGAUCUCAGUGGUUAUGUAUUUUACCUAUAUUGGACUAUACUCUAAUAUCCGCUGCUUAAAUAUUAAAAACCUAACAGACAUUUUUUGGGGGCUGUUUUCCUACCAGUUUCUAAAAUUAAAGUCUUACUAUUGUCUUGAAACCCACCCAAAACUUAACUAAUACAGACACAAAGCCUUUUGCAAACAUGCAAAGCAUUGUGUUUUUAAGUUUAAUUUCUUUGUAUUUUUUUAAGCACCUAAAUGUGAUGUUUAAUCUCCCAAAUGCACAAUAAAAUCAAUAUCAAGUAAAUUAGAGUAAAUUAUUAACUACCGUAUAUACUCGAGUAUAAGUCGAGUUUUUCAGCACAUUUUUUGUGCUGAAAAACCCCCACUCGAUUUAUACUCGAGUUAAUGUCUGUAUUAUGGCAAUUUAUAUUGCCAUAAUACAGACAAGGACCGCCGGGCUCAUUACAAGCCCGGCGGUCCUGUUGGGGGCUGACAGUGAGAGGUUACUUACCUUUCCUGCAGCUCCUGUCAGCUCCCUUCUCCGUGCAGCUCUUCUGACAGCUCCCACUGGAAGUCUCGCGAGAGCCGCGGGGUCACCGCGGCUCUCGCGAGACUUCCAGUGGGAGCUGACAGAGGAGCUGCACUGAGGAGAAGGGAGCUGCAGGAAGGUAAGUUAACUCUCACUGUCAGCCCCCCCCUCCUGCACAGCCCAUCCACUGGACCACCAGGGAGUGAGAGCCCCCCUCCCUGGCCAGCUAACAAGCAGGGAGGGGGGACAAAAAUUUUAUUUAAUUAAAUAUACAAAAAAAAAAAAUACAAUAAAAACUAUUAAAAUAAAAAAACUUAAAAUAUUAAAAUAAAAUAAAAUUAAAUAUUCAAAUAAAAGAAAAGAAAAAACUUAAUAUAAAAAAAUAAAAAACUUAAAUAUUCAAAUAAAAGAAAAGAAAAAAACUUACAAUAUUAAAAUAAAAAAUGUAUAAUAAAAAUGCCCUCCUUCCACCCAGUUCACAAACACACACUCAUACAAACACACACUCUGCAUUAUAUACACACACACUCAUACAAUCUGCAUUCACACACACACUCUGCAUUAUAUACACACAGAGUUUGUGCGUAUAUAAUGCAGAGUAUGUGUGUUUGUAUGAGUGUGUGUGUAGAAUGCAGAUUGUUUGAGUGUGUGUGUGUGUAUAUAAUGCAGAGUGUGUGUUUGUAUGAGUGUGUGUGUAUAAAAUUCUAAAAUCACAGAAUUUCAUAGUCCCAAGUUUUACCCUCGACUUAUCCACGAGGCAUAGCAUAUUUCACAAUUGUUGGUCACAAACGUGCCCUCGACUUAUACAUGAGAUCGACUUAUACACGAGUAUAUACGGUAUGUAAAACCAAACAAUUCUGUACUUAUUUGUAAGCUAAAUGUCCGUGAGCAUUUCUUAAUUUGUCACUCACUCUCUGUCCCCUAGUAAAAGUGCAUAUUAUUAGAUACAACAUUUCUUCAUAAUGUUAAGCAGUAGAUACAUAUCACAUGGUGCAGGGGAGAAGUCACUUAAUCAAAUUAAUACCAAAGGAAAUGUAUUGAUACAAUAACAGAUGUUCUUCCUGCAGCAUUUAAAUUCUAUACUGAGGAAAGUGUUUCAAUUUGUCAUUGAUGAGCGCUCACUGACCCUCUUCUCUCACUAUUUAGGGGUCUCAGAAUGCAUCAUAAUGGGUAUCCCAAUGAACAUUGGAACUGGCCUCUUCAAACUUCUCCAUAGAGCAGACAAGGACACCAAUCCUCCCAAAAGACCUCUUAUCUUUGACCAUAAGGAUUUUCACAUCCCUGUCAUCAGCACGUAGCUGGUCAAUCGUGAUCGAAGACAAACAUUUGUCCCUUGCGUUCUUGGGAGACUAUGGUUACUAACGGUGACAUUUUCACUUGAGCCCCUUUUAAUGCCAGGAAACCUGUGAUGCAUGAAGUGAUGGUGAAAUGAAAAACUAUAUUCUAUGUAGAACAGUUGUGUUGUAAAUAUAUUGUAUUGUAUUUCUAUGCUUCAAACAAAACUGUGGUUGUUUAUGAGAAGCGGCAGAGCACAUAUCUUGUCCCAUAACUUUAGUUGCACUCUCUGGAUCUUGAAUACGCCGUUUUACACUGGUGACGUUAUGGAGUUGGAGGGAACUGACUGAACGCUGGGUGUUGGAACAAAUCAAUUCGCCUGAAACUAUAAUUAUAUAUUUGUUUACACUACUGUGUGUUAAAAUCUAAAUGGCACACUGUAACCUAAACAUACAUAAAACUGUGUUGUAACAGGUCUUUUUAUUUAGACCAUGCCUAACCGUUAGCUAUGAUGUGUUUAUACAGAACACAACACAUCCGUGUGCUUUCGCCCUCUUUAUAGGUAUUUUAUUAUCUAAACUGUACAAAGUGGCGGCUGGGUGGGUGAGAUAAUCUUCAGUGUUCGUUUCGUAUUUUUAAGAACUGUAAUUGUAGCCUUUGUUGGAAGCACUUGAGUAGUAGCUAGCUUGUUAAAUGCACCUUGUUUAAAAGGCAGAGAAAGAGUUUAUUAGCCCCUAUUGAAGGAUUGCAUGUCUUGCCUUCUAUACUUAACACUGGUGGUAGCUCUGUUACUACCUGCAGUAACUGAGUUAAGCAUUCCAGAUUAGAUUACACUAGUUAAAAACCACAUUGUUAUGAUAGUUUAGACCAUCGUUGGUCCUUAAACAGAUAACCUUGGCAGAAUAAAUUACCCAGUGAUGCUGCAACAAUAUUUACAGGCCCUGUGGGUUUCCAAAGAUGACGUGUGAUGUUGUGUGCACUGAAUGCCCUCCCACCCAGAAAAGUAGUACAUUUGCCACCUAUGUGAUUCUAAAUAAUUUAUGUAAAUCGACCUGUCCUCUAAUGACUGGUGCUUCAAAGAUCAUCCCUCUGUUCUGCACUGCGUUAUCACUGCACUCAUUGCACUAGAGAACUGCAGUUAUUAACCCUUGUACAGCCGAUCAAAAGGGAGUUUCAAACCAUUCAUGGAGAGAAUGGCAUGUAAGAUUGAUUAAAGUGUAAAUCAUUAGAAUUUCUUAUAUCACCUGAAUGUUUUCAGUUUGCCUUGUAGUGUAGGACUUCUCAUUCUCCUCCUAGGUCACAGGGCUGUGUCUUGGUUAGACAGCUAAUAGAAAUGACAGAUUACUUUGGAAGGAAAGUUCUUUAUUUAAUUUGGUUUGGUAUGUGCAAAGUUAACUUAUGUUACUGUAAAUAAAAAGUAAGAUAAAAAUCA